GGUAAAAUGGCUGAUAUAGGCAAUAGAUUGUAAAUUUAUGCAUGAAAAAAAAUUUUUUCUUUUACUAA
rnacentral:tRNA from 1 species